CGUAGGUGAACCUGCGGAGGGAUCAUUACCGAG
rnacentral:rRNA from 1 species